rnacentral:snRNA from 1 species
AUCUCUUCUCGGCCUUUUGGCUAAGAUCAAGUGUACUUUACAGUUCUAGGGAAUGAAUCCAGGAUCUCUGCUUUUAUGUGAACCUCCACCCUUGAGGUUUUCCUUUUUCUUUUCUUUUUGACCCAUGUUCACACUAAGUUUCUCAGGUGUCCACGCUGUGGUUGAACUUGCGAUUCU